GUGCAGCAGGCGCGAAACUUUACAAUGUGCGAAAGCACGAUAAGGGAACUCUGAGUGCCUCCUAAGGAGGCUGUUCAGGUGUCUAAAAGCACCUGAAGGAAGGGCUGGGUAAGACCGGUGCCAGCCGCCGCGGUACCACCGGCAGCCCAAGUGGUAGCCACGUUUAUUGGGUCUAAAGCGUCCGUAGCCGGCUGGGUAAGUUCCUUGGGAAAUUUGGCUGCUUAACAGUCAAGCUUUCAGGGAAUACUGCCCGGCUUGGGACCGGGAGAGGUCAGAGGUACUCCAGGGGUAGGGGUGAAAUCCAUUAAUCCUUGGGGGACCACCGGUAGCGAAGGCGUCUGACCAGACCGGGUCCGACGGUGAGGGACGAAGGCUAGGGGCGCGAACCGGAUUAGAUA
rnacentral:rRNA from 1 species